AUGACUUUUGACUUCAACCAGGAAGGACUCCCGCGGACUUAAGCUAUCUGGGGGGAAAGAAAUA
rnacentral:rRNA from 1 species